CCUGUGAGGACACAGCAGGAAGGCACUGUCUACAAUCCAGGAAGAGAGCUCCCACCAGAAACUGAUCAUGGUGGCUCCUUGAUCUUGGACUUCUAGACUCGAGAGCUACAACUGAGAUGCUGAGUGCCACUUCUAAAGGAGGAACUCUUCGCUUGCAACAGCAUUUUAUGUUGACGACCAGGCCAGAAAUGUGGAAAACGCCCUUUCUCAGCAUCUUCCAUUAAGAGAAAAGAGAAUUUGUGUUACUACUUGAAAAAUCAACUGCUUAGUCUUCGACUGAAAUUCCAGUCAGUAAAAUUAAUGGAGAGUGGGACAAUUUCACUAGAAACACCCCACGGGCACCAGCAAAAACAAUGAUUUGAACCUCACAGGGCACUUGGACAGGUGACUCAACAUGGCCAGAGUUAGCCUCGGGAUGUUUAAAAUGAAUAAAGACAAAUGAAUGAAAAUGCUGGCUUUGGGGCUGAGGAAAUGCAGGUGGAAACCCCAAACCUGGAAGAAAGCGCAACAUAUUCUGCGCAAAUCUUGACAAGGCUGGGUGCGGCUCUUCUUGGGGGAGGGAGCCGCGGGUGCAGGCAAUCCUCUUUAAUUGUCUUAGCGUAGAGUUGAGAAGCAUUCUGCUGUGGAGCUGAAGAUUUUUCUUUUCCUGUUCCUCUUGUUCAGAAAAAACUGUGUAUGAAUCAAGACAAUUGUCAUGUUACUGUCACAUCAUCCCCUGACUCUCAGUCCUACAUGAGCUAUUUUGGAGUCUUAGGAAGAGGCCUUGUGGCAGAACAGACGGUAUAUGGAGUGAGGGGCCUACAGAAUUGUCAGAGGGCUGGAGGAGGGGCUCUAAGGUGGUCAUCUGGGGGACUCCAAGAACAAGUUGGGGCACUGGCCCUCUAGGGGAGCCACUACCUGGUACUGGAGGGGACUAGGCGACCACCAGUGAA